AAGUCGUAACAAGGUUUCCGUAGGUGAACCUGCGGAAGGAUCAUUAACACUGUUUUAACUUACAGUUUUAAACUCAAAACUCGUGAACAGACUCUUAACCGAGUCUCCCUCUCCCCUAUUUUUUAUUAAAACCCCAACACCUUCACUUUAUCUUCCGCAAGGAAAUGAACUGAACAAAUACAAACAACGAAACGGACUACGCCGUAAAAAAGUGUGGCUUCGAUAAGUUAAUGAAAUGCUGAACAACUCUUAACAACGGAUAUCUUGGUUCUC
rnacentral:misc_RNA from 1 species